GAUGAACGCUAGCUACAGGCUUAACACAUGCAAGUCGAGGGGAAACGUCAUCGAAAGCUUGCUUUUGAUGGGCGUCGACCGGCGCACGGGAGAGUAACGCGUAUCCAACCUGCCCAUCACUUGGGAAUAACCUUGCGAAAGUAAGACUAAUACCCAAUGACAUCCCACGAAGACAUCUGAAUGGGAUUAAAGAUCUAUCGGUGAUGGAUGGGGACGCGUCUGAUUAGCUUGUUGGCGAGGUAACGGCCCACCAAGGCAACGAUCAGUAGGGGAUCUGAGAGGAAGGUACCCCAGAAUGGAGCUAAGGCACGGACCAAACUGCGACGGGACGGAGGGGAGUGGAAUAUUAGGCGAUGGACGAGGGCCUGAACCAGCCAAGUGGCGUACAAGAGGACGGCCAUAUGAAAUGUAAACUGUUUUUGUAAAAGAAAAGUGUGGGUAUCGUGGGACUUUUUGCAGGUACCUUAUGAAUAAGGACCGGCUAAUUCCGUG
rnacentral:rRNA from 1 species